CCUUCGGGUGGAGCGGCGGACGGGUUAGUAACGCGUGGGAACGUACCCAGAUCUAAGGAAUAGCCACUGGAAACGGUGAGUAAUACCUUAUACGCCCUUCGGGGGAAAGAUUUAUCGGAUUUGGAUCGGCCCGCGUUAGAUUAGAUAGUUGGUGGGGUAAUGGCCUACCAAGUCUACGAUCUAUAGCUGGUUUUAGAGGAUGAUCAGCAACACUGGGACUGAGACACGGCCCAGACUCCUACGGGAGGCAGCAGUGGGGAAUCUUGGACAAUGGGCGCAAGCCUGAUCCAGCCAUGCCGCGUGAGUGAUGAAGGCCUUAGGGUCGUAAAGCUCUUUCGCCAGAGAUGAUAAUGACAGUAUCUGGUAAAGAAACCCCGGCUAACUCCGUGCCAGCAGCCGCGGUAAU
rnacentral:rRNA from 1 species